AUUAAAAAAAAAAAAAUUAAAAAAAAAAAAAAGAGUAACAUGCUCUACUGGCUGGGCUAGCCAGGCACCCAAGUUUUCAAAGAGGCAGUAUCCACUGGCAAACUGCUGUCUCAUGGCCAUUAUCUCAUUGACCUUCCCAGCAAGAUAGGUUGGAUCGUCAGCCCACUUUACGGGUCCUUAGAGCCUGUCCUGGGGACCGGAGGUGAGUGGGCAGGGAAGGCUUCCGGGAGUCACCUGCACCCUCUUGCAUCAUCAUUCAAGUCCCAAGGGCAAGGUGUGCACUCUGACCCCAUCUGUCCGCACUGCUCCAGCUGGGCUCCCAGGUCAAGGCGGCCUGCCCUGCCCCAGGCUCCAGUCCAAGCCCCAGCCUCCGGCAGCCUGAGAAGGACCCUGCUGUCAAAGCCACGCCAGCCAUCAGCUGUGAGCUCUUCCGCUCAGAGCCCCUCCUCAGCUUAAAGAUGCUGCCUUCACUAGUCCUGGCUCGAGGCCAGACCCCCUCACAUUCCACCAGGAACCUUGGCCUUCAGCACUUAGGUCCCCGGGGGUCCUUGCUCAUGCUGUUCCCUCUGGCCUGGAUGGCCAGUCCCCAGAAGUCUUCGUGGACCCAUUUCAGGUGACUCUAAAGGGAAACAAGUUCGGAGAAGCGGAGCCACUGGGCAAGCGGCCAAAGCAGG